rnacentral:rRNA from 1 species
GAGCAAUACUCUGUCAGCGUGCGUUGAAUCAAAUAGGCGUACGUGGGGAACCGCCUGAACUGAAACAUCUAAGUAGGGCGAGGAAGAGAAAUCAACCGAGAUUCCGCUAGUAGUGGCGAGCGAACGCGGAAGAGGCCAAACCGGAGGUAGCAAUAUUUCCGGGGUUAGGACUGCAAUAUGUAACUUUAAUCUUUAACUGAAUGCUUUGGGAAGAGCAGCGAUACAGGGUGAUAGCCCCGUAAGUGAAAAGGAUUGAGUGCUAGCAGUAUCCAGAGUACCAGCGGACACGUGAAACCCGCUGGGAAGAUGGGGGGACCAUCCUCCAAGCCUAAAUACUACUCAGUGACCGAUAGUGGAGCAGUACCGUGAGGGAAAGGUGAAAAGUACCCCGGGAGGGGAGUGAAAAAGAACCUGAAACCUUGUGCCUACAAGCACCGAGAGCACGUUAAAGUGUGAUCGGGUACUUUUUGUAGAACGGUCCGGCGAGUUAAUAUUUGCAGCGAGGUUAAGGAACUGGAGUUCCGGAGCCGCAGCGAGAGCGAGUCUGAAAAGGGCGUAUGAAGUUGCAGGUAUUAGACCCGAAACCGGGUGACCUAUCCAUGAGCAGGCUGAAGCGGUGGUAAGACACCGUGGAGGGCCGCACCCACGUCUGUUGAAAAAGCCGGGGAUGACUUGUGGAUAGCGGAGAAAUUCCAAUCGAACUCGGAGAUAGCUGGUUCUCCCCGAAAUAGCUUUAGGGCUAGCGUUAUUUUAGAUUACCGGAGGUAAAGCACUGAAUGGUCUAGGGGCCGCGAGGUUACCAAAGCCUAUCAAACUCUGAAUGCCGGAUAAUUGAUGAAUAGCAGUCAGACUGUGUGAGAUAAGUCUCAUAGUCAAAAGGGAAACAGCCCAGAUCUACAGCUAAGGUCCCAAAUGAACACUAAGUGGAAAAUGAUGUGAAACUGCGAAGACAACCAGGAUGUUGGCUUAGAAGCAGCCACUCAUUCAAAGAGUGCGUAAUAGCUCACUGGUCGAGUGGUUUUGCGCAGAAAAUGUAACGGGGCUAAGUGUUCAACCGAAGCUUAGGCAUUGCAGUAAUGCAUUGGGUAGGGGAGCGUCGUAUGCGGGGUGAAGUCAGAGCGGAAGCACUGGUGGACUGCAUACGAGUGAGAAUGCCGGAAUAAGUAGCGAGAAUUAUGUGAGAAUCAUAAUGGCCGAAAAUCUAAGGUUUCUUGGGGAAGGUUCGUCCGCCCAAGGUUAGUCGGGAGCUAAGCUCAGGCCGAAAGGCGUAGGCGAUGCACAUACGGUAGAAAUUCCGUAACCACCGAACAUUUAAGCUAGAGGGACGCUUUCUUUAAGGUUAUCCCGGGCGAUGGUUGCCCCGGGCGUAAGGGACCGAAAUAUAGUAGGGAAGUAACUGGCGAGAGAGACGAGAAAAGCUCUGGUGUAUACUAAGGUGCCCGUACCGCAAACCGACACAGGUAGAUGGGAUGAGUAUUCUAAGGCCAACGGGAGAAGGGUUGUUAAGGAACUCGGCAAAUUGGCCCCGUAACUUCGGGAUAAGGGGCGCCUGCGAGAGCAGGCCGCAGUGAAAAGGCCCAAGCGACUGUUUAGCAAAAACACAGCUCUCUGCUAAAUCGAAAGAUGACGUAUAGGGGGUGACGCCUGCCCGGUGCUGGAAGGUUAAGGGGAGUGCUUAGCGCAAGCGAAGGUGCGAACUUAAGCCCCAGUAAACGGCGGCCGUAACUAUAACGGUCCUAAGGUAGCGAAAUUCCUUGUCGGGUAAGUUCCG